rnacentral:lncRNA from 1 species
GGACAAUAGAAAGAACAUACAUCCAUCGCUGUCCUCAAUCCAACCGAUCUGGGUGCACUGGCAAGCUCACGAGACAACAGCUCCAUAAACCCAGACAAACCUUAGGAAGCCCACAUCCUAACGGCGUGGACCGCCUGCACCAUUCUCUUUUUGAAGGUAGGAAUGGAGAAUAAGAGGCACAUGUUUACCCAACACAUGACUAAUGAAACUAGCUAAGAGACACAGCAAGAGGAAAGAGAAACUGAGAGCAACAGUGGGCCCAGUGACAGAAUCAUCACCACCCCCAACUCCAAAUAAAAGUCGUCCCACUUAGCAACGCAACGCAGCAGAAUAAGGAUUCGGAGAGAGGACCGGAGGAGGGGGCACAGCAAAGAGCCUCAGUGGAGAGCAACCGCGUGGCCCCCUGCCCUCCACACCCAGGGAGUCGCCAGGGCGUCCUUGACAGCCACCCUGCCAAAACCUGCCAAAGCCGAAGGCCCAGAGCACAUACCAGCUGGAGGACGAGAGGGAAGGAGGAGGAGAAAAGUCCAUAUUUAUCUGUUUUUCUAACCUCGGCCUGCUUUUAUUUUUUUUCUAUUAAGUACAAUAAAAUGGGAGAGCUUGAAGGGAGUACCACACAAAGCAAUGUUCAGUGAGGUCUAGAAGCGUUCGGCCGGGGAAAACUGACAAGACAGGCUAAUGAACCGUGUAGACAGCGAGAAAAUAGCCAGCGUUUGCUAGA